UCAAAAAAAACAAAAACAAAAAAAAAAAACUGAUUUGUGAUUCUUCUAAAGAACUCUACUUAAAUAUUGGGCGCCAAAAAAGAUGACCUAUUGCAAUCCUGUUUGCUUUUUGGUAGACAUAAGUGGCCCGAAAGUAGCUACAUUAUUUUGAAAGAUUAUCCCGUAGCAGCGGUUGCCUGUCGUUAUUUCUGUAUUGGCUUUGAAUCUAUUCGAACAUGGCAAAAUUUUUUUCAAGAUAAUUACAAUUCACAGCCAGGACAGACCUAGCAUAAAUUAGAUUUUUCUAAACAGAUCCCAGCUCUGCUGUGAUGUGAUGGUAGUAGCGUCGAAAAUAUGUCGUCCAAAACAUAUCUCAGCUAUGUGGCUUCUACGUAUCUCGCUCGCUUGGCGUCCUCAUCUCCAUUUUGUAACCGCGAAUCCAGGCAGGCCGCGGCAGAUACACUUAAAGUUGACGGAGUCCACUUCUUUAGGAACUCCCGAAGAAGACUUAAUGCGGGCAACGAAUUCAACUACUUGGUAAGAGGGCAUUCCGGUGCACAAGGGUCUUGUUGCUACAGGGUCUAGGAAGGUUCCGAUGUACUCAGCCUUGCCUCCGGUAUGGAGAGGCUAUUUCUAUAUUUCAAACUUAUGACACCUUGGUCACAAUGGAGCAAGUUUACCAUGGCACUAAAGCCUGCCCUCUAAUGAUUUUAACUAUUAAGUACAUGACAAAAUACAAUGGAGCCUAUAUAAAGGUCAAAAUCAAGUCAACAUAUUGAAUUAGACUGAACACAUGCUAGAUAAACUUGUAUGGUAGAUAUGUGGUCACAACAAAGAAGUACAUCUUCAUGGAAAAUUCUACGUUGGAAUUUUGACCACUCCUAAUGUGAUCUCAUACACAAAAGGCUAAAUGGGUUUAUAAGUAUCUUGGUAGCCACACCAUCAAUUUAAGUUGGUUUGUCGACACCUGUGCUCUUUUAUCUCUAUGGUGAAUUUGUAACACCAGCAAAAGAUCUUUUGAAUUUGAGUUGACAAUACUGAAUCCUGACGAAGCUUUGAACCGUGUAUGGCAUCUCUAUGAUAAUGAGUUGCAUGGUAUUGAUUGCUUAACUAGAAUUUCAGUCGCUUUUGAUAAAGAAUACAACCUCAGUGAUUUCCAGCUCCAAGGAGAGCAGUUCAAGGGUCAUUGACAAGCUGUUGAAUCAGUUUGAGUACCGCCGAAGAAGGGAAUGGACUGCGAUUGUUGCGCGGCUGCGGAACUAACCACAUUUUCAAUGAUAAGCAGAUGCCCAUGAGGCUGGUUCUUCACUUGGCUGUGCAGUUGGCUAAGGAAUGGGCUGCAAGUGCCUCAUCAAUGACUUUGAUGCCCAUGUCUCUUUCAGGUCCGGCUUGAUGAAUUUCAUCAGGAAGGUUUUCUAUUUCAUCUGAAAAUGGAAGCAAGCCACUAAUCUGAAAUGUUCAGACAUGGAAAAGCAGAGUGAAGUCCUUAUGGAAACGUAUCAUAUGAAAUCCCACGAGUUACCUAAACUUCAGACAAAAGUUUACAGUGCUGUACUCCUGUUUUUGAAAGCGAAGAAGAAAUGCUUACAUGCAAAAUUUACAAGCUCAUGUCAGCUGAAGGGCUGAUUAGAAAGGUGAAGAAGGAACAAACUGUUCCCAACAUCUCAUCCUCCACAUGAUGAUCGCUUGACAACGCAACACGUGUUCGCAUCAUCUCAACCCACAUAUUGUUUUUCACUGGAUCUAGCAAUCAACUUCACAAUUCUACAUUGUUAGGAGAUACCCAUUUAAACAAACAUGUUUCAGACUGGAGAUCCAAUUAAACAGCUCAACUUGACACUUGAAAACAUAAUGCUUUAGGACUAGAAACAACAUUCUUGUACUGUUGUAGACUUCAAGCAUUUUAAGUUGAAAAUAGUUGAUA